UGACAAAGAGGAAGAAGAAACUCGAAUGUCGGAGUGGCAGCGAUUGAAAGACGAUGAGAAUGAACGUUUACUUAAAGAAAGCAGAACUAUUUCUGAUAUUCUUUUUGUUUCAAAUGUCGAUGUUUACAGAAAUCUUCCAUCCCAGUUGCUUCAGUUUUCUCGUGGCUCUCGGCGACUUUAAGUUUUUCCUUUGUAAUGAAAACUGACGAUGAUUGUUUUGUUAACCUGGAGACCAUCUUACAGCUUUCGUACUGAUUGGUUGAUCGAGAGACAGGAAAAUGGGCCGAGCCUGAUUAUCCAGGAGUGGCUUAUCCGACAUUUGCCUGCGGUGCGGGCAGCAUUAUAUCUUCGGAUAUUGUUCACUGGCUG